CCUGAUAUCGUCUAGUGGUUAGGACACCAGGUUCUGAUCCUGGUAACCGCGGUUCGAAUCCGCGUAUCAGGU
rnacentral:tRNA from 3 species